UUACCUAAUGGGCUAGCAUCCGCAGCUAUUAUCUUCUUGUUUUUCACUAUUAUAGUUAAAGUUCGUCAUUGUUGAAGGUGGAGCAGAAGACACCCCGGCCUGGAGGUGUCCCGAACCCAAUUGCGGAUCAAUACUCAGGAACAAAAGUUCAAUAAGAGUGCAUGAAUGGAAACAUGCAGUGAUUCGCCUAGGGUAUACAACAUGCAGAAAGUGUGGUCAGGUCUUGGCCAGUCUGGAGAACUUCGAUCGUCAUAUCAAGGCACACCUCGAAAAGGAUGGAGUUUGGGUUUUGACGUGCGGCGUGUGUGGACAAGAAUUCGCUGAUGAAAAAAAUAUGAGGCACCACGAAUCGGAGUUUAAUCAUGGGACAACUCUUCAAUUCCCAACAUGCGGCGAGUGUGGACUAUCUUUCCAAUUAGAAAGGGACUUGAAGAAACACGAAAGAAACCAUCAGGCCAUCCGCCGAGCUAAGUUCAAAUGUCUCCUUUGCAAUGAAGUCUUCAAAUCGGGGGAUCACUACAACUACCAUAUGAAAGCUAAACAUGGACCAGGACCUCUUUUCUGCGAUUCUUGCGGGGAAACUUUACAAAACGAGGAGAAAAUGAAUGAUCACAGGAAGGCCCACACUGGAGAAACUUCCUGCCAUAUUUGCGGGGCAUACUAUGGUCAUUAUAAGGAUAGGAAUAAGCAUACGCGAACUAAACACCCGGAUGCUAAUGAUGACUAAAAUGAGAACCGCUAACGAACCGGAAGAUUAUGGAACUGGAAGAAAAUGCAACAAACUUGUCAAAGUCUCUUUAAGUAAGUACCUCAAGAAGAAAAGGAGCCCUACUGCAUCGACCUCUGAAAAAUCUGACCCUGACCAUGAUACAUUGACGUUAUUUAUGCAGUGGAAUAGCUGUAUUGAAAAUAAAAAAAAUCACUAAAGGAACCAUCUACACACGUAAAAAAAGGACCUCAGCAACAAAAACGUAGGCUCUGGAUGUUGCAACUAGUCCAUAAGUAUAACUAACUAAAAAUAUUAGAAGAAUUUGUUUCAUUAUUUUUAUUAGUAUGUAGAAAGAUACAUAAAAUAAGUUUAACCCACCAUGGUCCUAGUUGUGAUAACUAUCACCAUCAAAAUAAACAUUGAUGAUUUAUCAUCUACUAUAAAAAAUUAAUAUCUCCUUUUCUCUUGAUGUGACUUUUCAUUCAAUUAUAACAUUUACUAGGGGCCCGUGGCCGCUACGCGGCCGCCAACCACUGAAAAAGCUACGCGUAAAAAAUCGUAGAACAACUAUCUUCAAGUUAUUUCGUAG
rnacentral:lncRNA from 1 species